UACGUAGGUGGCAAGCGUUGUCCGGAUUUACUGGGCGUAAAGAGCGCGCAGGCGGUCGUGCAAGUCGCGUGUGAAAGCCCCCGGCUCAACUGGGGAGGGUCACGCGAUACUGCUCGACUCGAAGGCAGGAGAGGGAAGUGGAAUUCCCGGUGUAGCGGUGAAAUGCGUAGAGAUGCGGAGGAACACCGAUGGCGAAGGCAGCCCCCUGGGCUAGCACUGACGCUCAGGCACGAAAGCGUGGGGAGCAAACAGG
rnacentral:rRNA from 1 species